rnacentral:rRNA from 1 species
GAUGAACGCUGGCGGCGUGCUUAACACAUGCAAGUCGAACGGUGAACGAGGAAGCUUGCUUCCCGAUUUAGCGGCGGACGGGUGAGUAAUGCCUAGGAAUCUGCCUAUUAGUGGGGGGUAACGUUCCGAAAGGAACGCUAAUACCGCAUACGUCCUACGGGAGAAAGUGGGGGAUCUUCGGACCUCACGCUAAUAGAUGAGCCUAGGUCGGAUUAGCUAGUUGGUGGGGUAACGGCUCACCAAGGCGACGAUCCGUAGCUGGUCUGAGAGGAUGAUCAGCCACACUGGAACUGAGACACGGUCCAGACUCCUACGGGAGGCAGCAGUGGGGAAUAUUGGACAAUGGGCGAAAGCCUGAUCCAGCCAUGCCGCGUGUGUGAAGAAGGUCUUCGGAUUGUAAAGCACUUUAAGUUGGGAGGAAGGGUUGUAAGCUAAUAUCUUGCAGCUUUGACGUUACCAACAGAAUAAGCACCGGCUAACUCUGUGCCAGCCGCCGCAGUAACAC